GAACGAGGCAGCAAUGCCGAGUGGCGACCGGGUGAGGAACACGUAGCUAACCUACCCCUCUGCGGGGAAUAACAAGCCGAAAGGCGUGCUAAUACCGCAUACCGUCACCUUGUUUAGCAAGGGGUGACGAAACUUACGGGGCGGAGGGCGGGGGCUGCGGCCCAUCAGGUAGUUGGUGAGGUAACGGCUCACCAAGCCGACGACGGGUAGGGGACCUGAGAGGGUGACCCCCCACACUGGAACAGACAUACGGUCCAGACUCCUACGGGAGGCAGCAGUAAGGGAUAUUGCGCAAUGGGCGAAAGCCUGACGCAGCAACGCCGCGUGGAGGACGACGGCCUUCGGGUUGUAAACUCCUUUUCGUUGGGACGAGGAAGGACGGUACCGACGGAAGAAGCCUCGGCUAACUACGUG
rnacentral:rRNA from 1 species